rnacentral:rRNA from 1 species
GUAGGGUGCAAGCGUUAAUCGGAAUUACUGGGCGUAAAGCGUGCGCAGGCGGUUAUGCAAGACAGAGGUGAAAUCCCCGGGCUCAACCUGGGAACUGCCUUUGUGACUGCAUGGCUAGAGUACGGUAGAGGGGGAUGGAAUUCCGCGUGUAGCAGUGAAAUGCGUAGAUAUGCGGAGGAACACCGAUGGCGAAGGCAAUCCCCUGGACCUGUACUGACGCUCAUGCACGGAAGCGUGGGGAGCAAACAGGAUUAGAUACCCUGGUAGUCCACGCCCUAAACGAUGUCAACUGGUUGUUGGGAGGGUUUCUUCUCAGUAACGUAGCUAACGCGUGAAGUUGACCGCCUGGGGAGUACGGCCGCAAGGUUG